ACGGAGGAUCCGAGCGUUAUCCGGAUUUAUUGGGUUUAAAGGGUGCGUAGGUGGUUUAAUAAGUCAGCGGUGAAAGUUUGCAGCUUAACUGUAAAAAUGCCGUUGAAACUGUUAGACUUGAGUGUAAAUGAGGUAGGCGGAAUGCGUGGUGUAGCGGUGAAAUGCUUAGAUAUCACGCAGAACUCCGAUUGCGAAGGCAUCUUACCAAGCUACAACUGACACUGAAGCACGAAAGCGUGGAGAUGGAACAG
rnacentral:rRNA from 1 species